rnacentral:rRNA from 1 species
UACGAGGGGGGCGAGCGUUGUUCGGAAUUAUUGGGCGUAAAGGGUGCGUAGGCGGUUUGGUAAGUCUUAUGUGAAAUCUACAGGCUCAACUUGUAGUCUGCAUGAGAAACUGCCGGGCUUGAGUAUGGGAGAGGUGAGUGGAAUUCCUGGUGUAGCGGUGAAAUGCGUAGAUAUCAGGAGGAACACCUGUGGCGAAAGCGGCUCACUGGACCAUGACUGACGCUGAUGCACGAAAGCUAGGGGAGCAAACAGG